UAUACGGCGGACGGGUGAGUAAUGCUUAGGAAUCUGCCUAUUAGUGGGGGACAACAUUCCGAAAGGAAUGCUAAUACCGCAUACGCCCUACGGGGGAAAGCAGGGGAUCUUCGGACCUUGCGCUAAUAGAUGAGCCUAAGUCAGAUUAGCUAGUUGGUGGGGUAAAGGCCUACCAAGGCGACGAUCUGUAGCGGGUCUGAGAGGAUGAUCCGCCACACUGGGACUGAGACACGGCCCAGACUCCUACGGGAGGCAGCAGUGGGGAAUAUUGGACAAUGGGCGAAAGCCUGAUCCAGCCAUGCCGCGUGUGUGAAGAAGGCCUUUUGGUUGUAAAGCACUUUAAGCGAGGAGGAGGCUACUUGGAUUAAUACUCUAGGAUAGUGGACGUUACUCGCAGAAUAAGCACCGGCUAACUCUGUGCCAGCAGCCGCGGUAAUACAGAGGGUGCGAGCGUUAAUCGGAUUUACUGGGCGUAAAGCGUGCGUAGGCGGCUUUUUAAGUCGGAUGUGAAAUCCCUGAGCUUAACUUAGGAAUUGCAUUCGAUACUGGGAAGCUAGAGUAUGGGAGAGGAUGGUAGAAUUCCAGGUGUAGCGGUGAAAUGCGUAGAGAUCUGGAGGAAUACCGAUGGCGAAGGCAGCCAUCUGGCCUAAUACUGACGCUGAGGUACGA
rnacentral:rRNA from 1 species